rnacentral:rRNA from 1 species
UACGGAGGGUGCAAGCGUUAUCCGGAUUUACUGGGUUUAAAGGGUGCGUAGGUGGGCGAGAAAGUCAGUGGUGAAAUCUCCGGGCUUAACCCGGAACUGCCAUUGAUACUAUUGUCUUGAAUACUUUGGAGGUAAGCGGAAUAUGUCAUGGUAGCGGUGAAAUGCUUAGAUAUGACAUAGAACACCAAUUGCGAAGGCAGCUUACUACACAGUAA